UAUGGCUUAACCAUAGAACUGCUUGGGAAACUGAUAAUCUAGAGUGAGGGAGAGGCAGAUGGAAUUGGUGGUGUAGGGGUAAAAUCCGUAGAGAUCACCAGGAAUACCCAUUGCGAAGGCGAUCUGCUGGAACUCAACUGACGCUAAUGCGUGAAAGCGUGGGGAGCAAACAGGAUUAGAUACCCUGGUAGUCCACGCCCUAAACGAUGUAUACUAGUUGUUGCUAAGCUAGUCUUGGCAGUAAUGCACCUAACGGAUUAAGUAUACCGCCUGGGGAGUACGGUCGCAAGAUUAAAACUCAAAGGAAUAGACGGGGACCCGCACAAGCGGUGGAGCAUGUGGUUUAAUUCGAAGAUACGCGAAGAACCUUACCCGGACUUGAUAUCUAACAAAUCAUCUAGAGAUAGAAGAGUGUCUGCUUGCAGAAAUGUUAAGACAGGUGCUGCACGGCUGUCGUCAGCUCGUGUCGUGAGAUGUUGGGUUAAGUCCCGCAACGAGCGCAACCCACGUCAUUAGUUGCU
rnacentral:rRNA from 1 species